AGGACGAACGCUGGCGGCGUGCUUAACACAUGCAAGUCGAACGGUGAAGGAGAGCUUGCUCUCCGGAUCAGUGGCGAACGGGUGAGUAACACGUGAGUAACCUGCCCUUGACUCUGGGAUAAGGCGUUGGAAACGACGUCUAAUACCGGAUACGAGCUUCAGCCGCAUGGCUAGGAGCUAGGAAAGAAUUUCGGUACAAGGAUGGACUCGCGGCCUAUCAGCUAGGUUGGUGAGGUAAUGGCUCACCGAAGGCGACGACGGGUAGCCGGCCUGGAGAGGGUGACCGGCCACGACGUGGGACUGAGACACGGCCCAGACUACCGUACGGAGGCAGGCGAGGUGGGGAAUAGUU
rnacentral:rRNA from 1 species